rnacentral:rRNA from 1 species
GAUGAACGCUAGCGGCAGGCUUAACACAUGCAAGUCGAGGGGCAGCGCGGGUAGCAAUACCUGGCGGCGACCGGCAAACGGGUGCGGAACACGUACACAAUUUACCUUCGUCUGGGGCAUAGCCCGAAGAAAUUCGGAUUAACUCCCCAUAAGAUAUUAAAGUGGCAUCACUUAGAUAUUAAAACUCCGGUGGACAAAGA